UGGGGAAUUUUGGACAAUGGGGGAAACCCUGAUCCAGCCAUCCCGCGUGUGCGAUGAAGGCCUUCGGGUUGUAAAGCACUUUUGGCAGGAAAGAAACGUCAUGGGUUAAUACCCCGUGAAACUGACGGUACCUGCAGAAUAAGCACCGGCUAACUACGUGCCAGCAGCCGCGGUAAUACGUAGGGUGCAAGCGUUAAUCGGAAUUACUGGGCGUAAAGCGUGCGCAGGCGGUUCGGAAAGAAAGAUGUGAAAUCCCAGAGCUCAACUUUGGAACUGCAUUGUUAACUUGCGGGCUAGAGUGUGUCAGAGGGAGGUGGAAUUCCGCGUGUAGCAGUGAAAUGCGUAGAUAUGCGGAGGAACACCGAUGGCGAAGGCAGCAUCAAGGGAUAAAACUGACGCUCAUGCACGAAAGCGUGGGGAGCAAACAGG
rnacentral:rRNA from 1 species